ensembl:lncRNA
AUCAGGCUCAUACUCUGUGUUCUAUCCACCUGCUGUCAGCCCCCAUUCUCUUUCCUAAACCACAAAUUGGUUGGGAUUCCCCUAAGGAAGCACUGUCUGGAGAGAACUGGGAGACACUGCCACCAUAUUUGGACUUUAACCUGAAUAAAAAGCCUCCCUAUCCAGAGAGAUGAUAAAGACAGAGAACAGACUCAGCCAGCCCAGGAACCUAAGGAGGCUAUAACACAGAGAAGCAGGUAAGGGCCAGGCUUCCUGAUUUCUCCCCUGGGUCUCAAUGGUACUACCUCAUCCACCCCCACCCAUCCACGUGAUGCAGCUUCAACCUGAUCUAGGCUCCCCUUAUCCCCUGACACAGAAACCCCUAAAAAAGGGGAACUUUAGAUAGUACCUUCUGACACCUAGUUUCAAUCCUGUUCUUAGCCUUGCAGAGAUGGGUAUGGGGUGGCAUUCAGACCUUUGUGACAAUUUGGUUGCAGCUCCUGAGAGGAAGGAUCCCAGAGCUAAGCUCCUGGCAGACAUGGGCCAAAGCAAGAAAAGAGGCAGUCACUUUUAUAUUUCCCACGCAAGAGUUGUAUCAGCAGAGAAAGGAGAGUACAGUAGGAGGUCUGGGUCAGUGGUGAAUAUCAGCAGAACGGAACAACCAACAACCCAUGGAAGAGUGGGAAGGAGUUGAGAUACAAGACUGUGGAGGGGUUCCAUCUGCUGUACAGAGUCAGCCUCAAGGAGAUGAUGGGCUACAUCAGGAGGCCUGUGAGAUGAACUUGGUCUGUCUGGAAGCUUAUAGGACCAGAUCAGCUAAAUCAGCAGAGAGGAGGUGUCCAGAGGAACCAGAGCUCUGCAGCAGAAAUCUUUAGGGCUGACAAAGGUGAGUUGAUAGUUCAUCCAAGAGGGACACUAGGCGUGCUGGCAAAGCCAAGAGUGGCAUCUCUAAGGUUUGGGAAUCAAGCUCAGUGUGGAAGAGAUGAGAAGCAGAGGCAAACUUGAGCUGAAAGAGGCCAAGAUUGGCAGGAAGAAGUCUAAGAAACUCCUAGGAUCAGGUGAGUCAGCUACAGGUGAGCUGUGAAAGCUGGACAUUUGGGAGGACAAAGGCAGACUCAGAAGCUCUGGGAAUUAUGAAACAGCAGAGCGGAAUUGAGGUACCUAAGAUUUUAAGGUACCAGAUUGAGCAGCCACAGGAGAGCUGGGGCAGGUAGGAGCUUAGGGGACCUGAAUAAACCAUUAUGUAGGAGCCGAGGUAGCUGGAAAUAUGGGAAAAUAGACUGACCAGCUACGGGAGAACUAGAGGAGAAUGAACUUAAGGAAUCUGAGUGAGCAGCCAUAGUGG